rnacentral:rRNA from 1 species
AUACGGAGGGGGCUAGCGUCGUUCGGAAUUACUGGGCGUAAAGCGUACGUAGGCGGACUGAUCAGUUGGGGGUGAAAUCCCAGGGCUUAACCCUGGAACUGCCUUCAAUACUGUCAGUCUUGAGUUUGGGAGAGGUGAGUGGAAUUCCUAGUGUAGAGGUGAAAUUCAUAGAUAUUAGGAGGAACACCAGUGGCGAAGGCGGCUCACUGGCCCAUUACUGACGCUGAGGUACGAAAGCGUGGGGAGCAAACAGGAUUAGAUACCCUAGUAGUCC